GAUGAACGCUGGCGGCGUGCCUAAUACAUGCAAGUCGAGCGAACAGACGAGGAGCUUGCUCCUCUGACGUUAGCGGCGGACGGGUGAGUAACACGUGGAUAACCUACCUAUAAGACUGGGAUAACUUCGGGAAACCGGAGCUAAUACCGGAUAAUAUAUUGAACCGCAUGGUUCAAUAGUGAAAGACGGUUUUGCUGUCACUUAUAGAUGGAUCCGCGCCGCAUUAGCUAGUUGGUAAGGUAACGGCUUACCAAGGCAACGAUGCGUAGCCGACCUGAGAGGGUGAUAGGCCACACUGGAACUGAGACACGGUCCAGACUCCUACGGGAGGCAGCAGUAGGGAAUCUUCCGCAAUGAGCGAAAGCCUGACGGAGCAACGCCGCGUGAGUGAUGAGGGUCUUCGGAUCGUAAAACUCUGUUAUUAGGGAAGAACAAAUGUGUAAGUAACUAUGCACGUCUUGACGGUACCUAAUCAGAAAGCCACGGCUAACUACGUG
rnacentral:rRNA from 1 species